rnacentral:rRNA from 1 species
GAUGAACGCUAGCGACAGGCUUAACACAUGCAAGUCGAGGGGCAGCGGGGGCGUAGCAAUAUGCCUGCCGGCGACCGGCGCACGGGUGAGUAACACGUAUGUAACCUGCCCUAUGCAGGGGGAUAACCCGGAGAAAUCCGGCCUAAUACCGCGUAACACCUUUUGGGAGCAUUCCCGGGAGGUUAAAGGAGAGAUCCGGCAUAGGAUGGACAUGCGUCGCAUUAGGUAGACGGCGGGGUAACGGCCCACCGUGCCGACGAUGCGUAGGGGUUCUGAGAGGAAGGUCCCCCACACUGGUACUGAGACACGGACCAG